rnacentral:tRNA from 1 species
GCAUUGGUGAUCCAGUGGUCAAACUCUAACCUUCCAUGUGAGCGAUCCAGGUUCAAUUCCCGGCCAAUGCA